GGGGGCGAUAUGGUUUCGACGGGUAUGGUUGAGGUUUCGGUUGCAUGCCGGGCGUUCUCGUCCGCCUGUUAAAUGGCGGGAAACUUUCAAAUGCCAACACUGGCUAUGCCUUGGCUGCUUAACUGACAGCCACGGUCCCUGUUUCGUCGGCGUGUUGCGAAACAAUCGGACUGUCAUAAAAGACGCGAUGCUCCCGGGACUGCGUUUCAGGGUUUCCGGGCUAAGACUAUCUGGAACUGGCCGCUUCCUUGCUCUCGUUCAUCCGGUUGGGUUGCGGUGAGAUCAAAGGAUAAACUACGCAUGUAGAUACCGUUGCUGAACAUAUUCGGACCCGGGUUCGAUUCCCGGCGCCUCCAGCU
rnacentral:tmRNA from 1 species